rnacentral:rRNA from 1 species
UAAAAGGCUUGCUGCCUGAAGAUGAGCUCGCGUCUGAUUAGCUAGUAGGCGUGGUAAGAGCGCACCUAGGCGACGAUCAGUAGCUGGUCUGAGAGGAUGAUCAGCCACACUGGGACUGAGACACGGCCCAGACUCCUACGGGAGGCAGCAGUGGGGAAUUUUCCGCAAUGGGCGAAAGCCUGACGGAGCAAUACCGCGUGAGGGAGGAAGGCUCUUGGGUUGUAAACCUCUUUCCUCAAGGAAGAAAAAAAUGACGGUACUUGAGGAAUAAGCAUCGGCUAACUCCGUGCCAGCAGCCGCGGUAAUACGGAGGAUGCAAGCGUUAUCCGGAAUGAUUGGGCGUAAAGCGUCCGCAGGUGGCAAUGUAAGUCUGCUGUUAAAGAGUGAGGCUCAACCUCAUAAGAGCAGUGGAAACUACAUAGCUAGAGUGCGUUCGGGGCAGAGGGAAUUCCUGGUGUAGCGGUGAAAUGCGUAGAGAUCAGGAAGAACACCGGUGGCGAAAGCGCUCUGCUAGGCCGCAACUGACACUGAGGGACGAAAGCUAGGGGAGCGAAUGGGAUUAGAUACCCCAGUAGUCCUAGCCGUAAACGAUGGAUACUAGGCGUGGCUUGUAUCGACCCGAGCCGUGCCGGAGCUAACGCGUUAAGUAUCCCGCCUGGGGAGUACGCACGCAAGUGUGAAACUCAAAGGAAUUGACGGGGCCCCGCACAAGCGGUGGAGUAUGUGGUUUAAUUCGAUGCAACGCGAAGAACCUUACCAAGACUUGACAUGUCGCGAAUCCUCUUGAAAGGGAGGAGUGCCUUCGGGAGCGCGAACACAGGUGGUGCAUGGCUGUCGUCAGCUCGUGUCGUGAGAUGUUGGGUUAAGUCCCGCAACGAGCGCAACCCUCGUUUUUAGUUGCCAGCAUUAAGUUGGGCACUCUAGAGAGACUGCCGGUGACAAACCCGGAGGAAGGUGGGGAUGACGUCAAGUCAGCAUGCCCCUUACGUCUUGGGCUACACACGUACUACAAUGCUACGGACAAAGGGCAGCGAGCUAGCGAUAGCAAGCAAAUCUCAUAAACCGUGGCUCAGUUCAGAUCGCAGGCUGCAACUCGCCUGCGUGAAGGAGGAAUCGCUAGUAAUUGCAGGUCAGCAUACUGCAGUGAAUUCGUUCCCGGGCCUUGUACACACCGCCCGUCACACCAUGGAAGCUGGCAACGCCCGAAGUCAUUACUCCAACCAUUCGUGGGGGAGGAUGCCGAAGGCAGUGCUGGUGACUGGGGUGAAGUCGUAACAAGGUAGCCGUACCGGAAGGUGUGGCUGGAUCACCUCCUUUUAGGGAGACCUACCCAACUUUGAAAUCAAUUGCAAACAGUCAAUAGAGACAAAGAUGGUCUACUCUAGGUCGGUCGAGAUUGGUGAAGAACUUUCAAAGUAUUCUGUGUUCGGUAAAUAAAAAUGAUUGCAAAGAUCAAUAGGUAAAUUCAGCAAUUGACGUGAAUAACAGUCAAACUGCUGGAAAUACGCCAGCCAGAACCUUGAAAACUGCAUAGUAACGCGAAAAAUAGCAGGCAGUCAAAAAAGUCAAAAGUCAAAAGUCAAAAGAAGGACCCAAAGACGAAAGACAAAAGACUGCAGAUGUGAAACCAAA